rnacentral:rRNA from 1 species
GAUGAACGCUAGCUACAGGCUUAACACAUGCAAGUCGAGGGGUAACAAGAGGAAAGCUUGCUUUUCUUGUUGACGACCGGCGCACGGGUGAGUAACGCGUAUCCAACCUGCCUAUAACUAGGGAAUAACCUUGCGAAAGUAAGACUAAUACCCUAUGAUUUCCUUUGAUGGCAUCAGAUUAGGAAUAAAGAUUUAUCGGUUAUAGAGGGGGAUGAGUCUGAUUAGCUUGUUGGCGGGUUAACGGCCCACCAAGGCAACGAUCAGUAGGGGUUCUGAGAGGAAGGUCCCCCACAUUGGAACUGAGACACGGUCCAAACUCCUACGGGAAGCAGCAGUGAGGAAGAUUGGUCAAUGGGCGGAAGCCUGAACCAGCCAAGUAGCGUGCAGGAUGACGGCCCUAUGGGUUGUAAACUGCUUUUAUACAGGAAUAAAGUUAGCCACGUGUGGUUAUUUGUAGGUACUGUAUGAAUAAGGACCGGCUAAUUCCGUGCCAGCCGCCGCUGUAAUAC